GGAUAAACGCUGAAAGCAUCUAAGCGUGAAGCCGACUCCAAGAUUAGAUAUCCCAUCGCUUUAUGCGAGUAAGACCCCUUGUAGACUACGAGGUUGAUAGGCUGCGUGUGUACGCAUGGCGACAUGUUUAGCUUGGCAGUACUAAUAGGUCGAGGGCUUGACCAC
rnacentral:rRNA from 1 species